rnacentral:rRNA from 1 species
UACGUAGGUGGCAAGCGUUGUCCGGAAUUAUUGGGCGUAAAGCGCGCGCAGGCGGUCCUUUAAGUCUGAUGUGAAAGCCCACGGCUCAACCGUGGAGGGUCAUUGGAACUGGGGACUUGAGUACAGAAGAGGAAGCGGAAUUCCACGUGUAGCGGUGAAAUGCGUAGAGAUGUGGAGGAACACCAGUGGCGAAGGCGGCUUCUGGUCUGUAACUGACGCUGAGGCGCGAAGCGUGGGAGCAACAGG